UUUUUUUCUUUUUCUUUUUCUUUUUUCUCUUUUGCUUUUCUAGGGCUGCACCCUCGGCAUAUGGAAGUUACCAGGCUAGGUGUAGAAUCGGAGCUGUUGCUGCCAGCCUACACCACAGCCACGGCAACACCAGAUCUGAGCCAUGUCUGUGAUCUACACCACAGCCACAGCAUCGCCAGAUCCGAGCUGUGUCUUCGAUCUACACCACAGCUCACGGCAACAUUAAGCCAUGUGCUCCAAGCGACACACCUAAUACAAGACUGGCACACUCACCACCUGAACUCUGGUCUCUCUGACACUAAAGCUUGUUGUUUGGGCUUUUGUUUGUUUCUAGUUACACCAUACUGCCUCUCUUGGUUUCUCUCCGCUAACUUCCGAACUCAAGGGACCUAUAAUCCAAAACCAAACUAAUAUUUAGACAUGAGGUCUCAUGCCUUCUUCCUGAUGUCAUCAAGGUGGUGAGCAAAGAGCCUUGGCCACCCAAGGCCGUCAGCAGUGUCUUUCAGGGAAAGACACCAGACCAUAAUUCCAAUUAGCUAGACAAAACACAUGAAUUCCACAUCGGAGAAACCUUUCCCAGAAAACAAAAGAAGACCUUUAGCCCCUGAUAACACUUCAUCUCAUCACUUCUCCGGUCCAGACAGCCCUUUGCUUCAGCUGGCUUCACAUAUUCUGGACCACACGGAAGACAGAUCCAGCACCUUGGAAACAUGAAGCCCAACAGGCAAGUUCUCUGGGAUCCCAUCAACGUUUUAUUUUAUUUUGUGAAGCCAUUUCCCUGUCCAGCCUCCCUGGUGCAUAUCUCGUGUCAGACCUCACAUUUCCCGGACCACAUGUGAAGGGACAACUCAGCCCACAUUCCACAGAACUGAUCACAAUUCGUCAGAUCAAGGGCAAGAUCAAAUCUCUAGUCUCUCACUUUUGCAGCUCUUAGAGAGUUACCUUCUUGGAAUUAUUUAUUUAUUUAUUUAUUUGGUCUUUUUAGGGCCCCACCCGCGGCAUAUAGAAGUUCCCAGGCUAGGGGUCGAAUGGGAGCUGUGGCUUCCGGCCUACACCACAGCCACAGCAAUGCCAGAUCCAAACUGCACCAGCGACCUACAUCACAGCUCGCGGCAACACCAGAUCCUUAACCUACUGAGCGAGGCCAGGGACCGAACUCGCGUCCUCAUGGACACUAGGGUCAUCAGUAGCAAGUGGGGGGGGGAAGUCAUGCAAAAAAAUUCAGUAGUGGAGAUAAGCCAGCAAAAGUAAAUGCGACACAGUCCAAACCAAGCUGGGCACAUUCUCACAAUCCGCUGGAAAUGACUUUACCUGAAGCCUGCGGGACUCCUUAAACUCAGCACUGAGAUGGUGAGGUCUCCACAGGGACCCUUGGCAGGAACCUCCACGCUCUUCCAAGCCAGGUCUCCAAGGCCUGGCGCUGACAGGGUCACCACUUUCAUGGAGAAGCUUACAAUUCUGUUCUCUCCUCUCCUCCCCCCAUCAGACAUGCUAACUGGCACUUGUUUUAUCUACGAAGGCUAGCCUGUGGCAGUGGCAUAGUGUGACAGCUGGAAAAUUCGGGGACCUCAGCGAGUCAACGCACAGAGUUACCACAAACAGAAGCAUGCUGUGAACCAGUUGUCAAAGUCUCCAGCCGGGCUUUCCCUCACACUCAUCUCACACGAAUCUUAAUCCGAUCAGGAGAGAGAUAAAAGCAGACCCUGAGGUUCCUGUGCAUCUCUCUAAAGGAGGGAAAAUUUUCUUUCUUUCAAGAGGGGUGACCUGGCCAUAAUAACCUUUGGGGUGGCUAAAUGGCCUUGGUGUUCUGAGCAAAAAAAGAAAGAAAGGAAAUGAGACUUUUUUUUGUGUGUUCCAUUUAGGGAAAUGAGGAAGUGGAAUGGUUUCUCUCCAGGCCCGAUCCCUUUCUGAGAGUCGGUUUGGAGGUAAUGUCAUAAUUUCAGGCUCUCCUUGCAGAAAUCCUCCUUGCAUUUCAUAUCAGGUUCUAAAUAAAGACGUGCUCUUGGUUGACUUGUAGCUGUUGUCAAUAUUAGGUUAUAAGCACUGGGUAAGGGCUGGAGCCCAAUCAAAGUAUGCUUAUAAUAAUGAUCAUUCAGAGGGAGCGACAGUGACCACACAGAUCCUGGCUAAUACCAUCCAAACCCGAAUCCAGGAAAAUGCUGCCUGGAAGCAUUCCUCCCUACCAAUCACACCUUCAGACAGGGAAGCUGGGUGACUGGUCCAGUUUCCAGACCCUGAUAUAUUCAAAUCAACUGGUAGUCACUGAGUGACCAGAAAGUAGCCAGCAGGCACUGUGGCUUUAGCAUGCGUCAGGCAUUUCUAGUCAGUCUUUAAUUUGCAAAGGCCAAUCGGGUUCGACCCCAACGUGAGAGACGGAACAACAAAUCAAGGAUGACCUCAGUUCCUGCAGCAGGUUUAAUCCAGGCAGCCGAGGCAGCCCCUGAGCCUCUUUCUCAAAGACUAAACCACUCAGAGCAGGAAGCGCUGGUCCAUCUACCACGUAGAUGCAGAUCGUCCCUCUGAGAAGUAGGACAGGUUCCCAAGUCUUUCUCUCCUUUCUCUCUAGGUCCCUUCAAAGAAAAAGCCAUCCCCUCCUCCAUCUCAGCGUGGGACACACAAGUGUAACCUUUUCUACCAAAAGAGGAAGGUCUGGAGGACACUAGCAGCUACCAGGAGUUUCUCUAUGACUCGAAGCCCCUUGGCUCUCGGCUGGGGCAGCCGGAAUCCACAUUUAAAAGCAUCUUGUUUCCUCUUCUUCUCUAGGUUAGUGCCCAGCUAAGAAUAGCGCGCCAUUCAUGCCCAUGUGUACACAUCCUUUUCACUUGCUGUUUUCUCUUAUAUAUGCAUGAAACCCUGUUCUUGCAUAUCUUCCAAGGUAAACAAAAAUAUUUUUAAGUGGGCACAGAGCAGCAGUUUUAUUCCCUGUCCAGUCUUCAAGAAGGCACUGCCCGGAGGAACUCCGCUCCAGAACCGAGUGUCACAGGAAUGGUUGAGGCACCGGCUUCCUCUCUGAAGCCCCAAAGAGAGACUCACACUCAGAGAUGGGAACCCAGUGGCAACAAGCUUAGGAUUCCCUCGAUCUGCCCAGACUCACCUCUGUGGAUGUCCUAAACCUACAGGAGACCAGAAGGCCAUAAAAUUGGUCUCAUUUUAUUAAGUUGAACCAUAUGAAACUACCUACAAAAUGAGGAUUUCAUAUGACUUAAACUAACAGAAUCCUAAAAAAGCUAAUCAGGCAUUUUGCAAUGAGCAAGAAUGCAAAAUCCAUUAUUUCCCAGAUAGCUCCACCCAUGACCAUUUCCUAUUAGACUUUUUUUUUUUUUUUUUUUUUUUUUUUUUUGGCUGCGCCCAUGGCAUAUGGAAGUUCCUGGGCCAGGGAUUGAACCGGUGCCACAGCAGCAGCAGCAACCCGAGCCGCUGCAGUGAUCACAUCCAAUCCUUAAGCCGCUGCACCACAGGAGAACUCCUUCCUAUUAAUCUUUAGUAACUAAAACAUUUUUCAGGAAAGUUAAAAGCUGUAAGUUAUAGGCUCAUUAUGGGACCCCUUGUAAGAUAGGCUUGGCAUUGGUAACAAAUAUCUUUUCUCUCCAUUCCUUCCCUAUCUGUAUCCAUAUCCACAUCCAACACCAUUCCUGGUCCUCAAGAGCUCACGAGUAACAGGCAAAUAGAACACAGGGUGAGCAGUUGCCCUUGUGGUGAAGGGGAAACAAAUCCGAGUAGGAACCAUGAGGUUGCAGGUUCGAUCCCUGGCCUCGCUCAGUGGGUUAGGGUUCUGGCGUUGCCAUGAGCUGUCAUGUAGGUCACAGAGGCGGUUCAGAUCCUUUGUUGCUAGGGCUGUGGCGUAGGCUGGCAGAUGUAGCUCCAAUUCCACCCCUGGCCUGGGAACCUCCAUAUGCUGAGG
rnacentral:lncRNA from 1 species